GUGGGGAAUAUUGCGCAAUGGGCGAAAGCCUGACGCAGCGACGCCGCGUGAGGGAUGAAGGUUUUCGGAUCGUAAACCUCUGUCAGAAGGGAAGAAACUACAUUGUGCUAAUCAGCAGUGUACUGACGGUACCUUCAAAGGAAGCACCGGCUAACUCCGUGCCAGCAGCCGCGGUAAUACGGAGGGUGCAAGCGUUAAUCGGAAUUACUGGGCGUAAAGCGCACGUAGGCUGUAGUGUAAGUCAGGGGUGAAAUCCCACGGCUCAACCGUGGAACUGCCUUUGAUACUGCACAACUUGAAUCCGGGAGAGGGUGGCGGAAUUCCGGGUGUAGGAGUGAAAUCCGUAGAUAUCCGGAGGAACACCGGUGGCGAAGGCGGCCACCUGGACAGGUACUGACGCUGAGGCGCGAAAGCGUGGGGAGCAAACAGGAUUAGAUACCCCUGUAGUCC
rnacentral:rRNA from 1 species